rnacentral:rRNA from 1 species
CUAUCAGCUUUCGACGGUAUGGUAUUGGCUUACCGUGGCAGUGACGGUUAACGGGGGAUUAGGGUUCGAUUCCGGAGAGGGAGCCUGAGAAACGGCUACCACAUCUAAGGAAGGCAGCAGGCGCGCAAAUUACCCAAUUCUAACAGUUUGAGAGAGGUAGUAACAAGAAAUAACAAUACAAGGCAGUUAAAAUGCUUUGUAAUUGGAAUGAUAGAAAUUUAAACCCUUUUUAAAGUAUCAAUUGGAGGGCAAGUCUGGUGCCAGCAGCCGCGGUAAUUCCAGCUCCAAUAGCGUAUAUUAAAAUUGUUGCAGUUAAAAAGCUCGUAGUUGAAGUUCUGCUAAAAGUAACCGGUCUGCUUUUAAUAAAGGUGGUAUCUUGGUGUGUAUUUAGCAAUGAUGUCCUUUGAAGUGUUUUUUACUUUAUUGUAAUAAAGCAUAUUCAGGACUUUUACUUUGAGAAAAUUAGAGUGUUUCUAGCAGGCUAACGCUUUGAAUACUGCAGCAUGGAAUAAUAAGAUAGGAUUUUAGUUCUACAUUAUUGGUUUUAAGAGCUAAAUUAAUGAUUGAUAGGGACAGUUGGGGGCAUUUGUAUUUAACUGUC